rnacentral:rRNA from 1 species
GAUGAACGCUGGCGGCGUGCCUAAUACAUGCAAGUCGAGCGAACGGACGAGAAGCUUGCUUCUCUGAUGUUAGCGGCGGACGGGUGAGUAACACGUGGAUAACCUACCUAUAAGACUGGGAUAACUUCGGGAAACCGUAGCUAAUACCGGAUAAUAUUUUGAACCGCAUGGUUCAAAAGUGAAAGACGGUCUUGCUGUCACUUAUAGAUGGAUCCGCGCUGCAUUAGCUAGUUGGUAAGGUAACGGCUUACCAAGGCAACGAUGCAUAGCCGACCUGAGAGGGUGACCGGCCACACUGGAACUGAGACACGGUCCUGACUCCUACGGGAGGCAGCAGUAGGGAAUCUUCCGCAAAGGGCGAAAGCCUGACGGUGCAACGCCGCGUGAGUGAUGAUGGUCUUCGGAUCGUAAAACUCUGUUAUUAGGGAAGAACAUAUGUGUAAGUAACUGUGCACAUCUUGACGGUACCUAAUCAGAAAGCCACGGCUAACUACGUG